CCACACUCCAGUCCAGUUGUUGGUGGUAAUGCAUCUUAAAGUUGGUGGCCUACACUGCUAUAUAAAGUACGAAGAAGCCUGAAGGAGGAGAGAUUACUAGAAAACAAACGUUUACCUGUGGAUUAAUUGUCGGAGUAGAAGAUUUUGUGCAUUUCAGGUAAAUGGUAAUAUGCUCUACACCGCUCUGGUGACAGACUUUGCUGCCUUGUUUCCAAUCGUCCACAUGGCUGCGAGAACCUAUUCAAGUAAGUAAAUCCAUUUAAAGUGUAAACUAUAUUAUUAGCUACAGUGCAGUCUAACUCAAAUGAGCUGCUAACGUAACUAGCUAGCCAUCUAGCCAACUUUACGCUGCAAGGUUUGGUGACCAGGGCCAUCUGGGACUGCCUCCUGAGGGCCUUCAGGCGUGUCAAGGCUACCUGUGUCCUGCAUAACUUCAUGGACAUGAGGACCAGGAGGGGGGAGGGGGGGGGAUCUACAGCUUGCCGCCGUGUGCCAGAGGAGAGGUCUACAGGAUGUUUCAAGGAUGGGGGCAAACAACUCAGCACAGGAGGCAAUCCACUUCCAUUUACUUAGCUAUGUCAACUGCAGUUAUUUAAUUCCAGGUGAGGGUGCUGUCUGUACAAAAACAAAACAGGCUCUUUUAAGAGUCGCCCAUAUUGAGAACAAUUACACCCUAUAACCCACACCUACACACUUGUGUAUCAAUCUGAUGUGUUGUGCAGGCUCAGGUGUAACUGUGGCUCCUUCCACCUUCAAAAGAAUAGACAAAGGGAACCAACCAUGGAGAAUAGUAAGACACGUCAUUAUUUAACGUAGUAGACGCUAUAUAGUUUGUCAUGUCUGUUUUUCAGUAUAAAGUACUCUGCAGCCACUUAGUGUGGACACCAGGUGAGACCACACACACAUUCCUGUUGAACACUCUCUUUACUCAAAACAGUCUCUGUCCUUUACUUCAUCCCCUUCUCCCUAAAUCAUCUAGGUUAUAUCAGCUGUGUCGGUGAACUCCUCCCACAUCUGAACUGGCUGACAGAGGGCACAGCAUGCUGAGAGAAGAAAAUCACCAGCGAUGGGUCGCGCAGCGUCAAACUCGUCAUGCAAACCAGUCGAUAUGAUUGGUCAUCGCCCAGGUCGCCACUGACGUUUUCCAUGAACUUGGGAACUGCUUUUGACUCUUCACUCUCCCGCUCAACCCCUUUUCAUAGCCUCCUCCUGAAAUAUAUUUGAUACAUUUAUCUUUGUAUGUUUUUGUAUUUAAGACUCAGCGAUAUGACGUAGAUGCAAAGUAAACCGAAUAGUGAGUCAAAGUCCGCAACAACUAAUAGGGUUGAAGCGCGAGGCUAAACUUCUACGCUGUUUUUGUUUCCACACGUUAUGAACCAGUGCAGAUACUGUGUGAGAGAGAAGUCUUAUAUCUCGCUCAUUGUAAUAUCGUCCUUGCCCCUAAUGUCCACGUAAUUCCGCUGAGUCUACCUUUCAAAGAUGUGCAAAACACAUUUCUGCAUAUUGGAUUUUCAUGGUUUUGACACAUGUAUUUUAAAUGUAUAGUUGAAUUGUUAUCAGAAAAUAAGAGGCACGCUUUUUGGGAACGACAGAUACAAUUUGAGUAGUGCUGUCUUUUACUGACCAGAGGUGUCACCUCGUAGAUAACCUCUGAACUUCAUCUAAAAUGUUUACACAGUAUCUCUGCCACAGUACUCUUCCCUGCCGCUGGAGGGCCCAGCAGACAGACUGAUUGGAAAACAAACAGCACAAUAUCUCAAUAUUCUAUGUCUGGCUUGAAUAUGGGUAUAAGGCAAUAAUACCAUUGUACACUCAUUGCUGUGUACUUGCUACAACCCUGUACUCCUACAAUACAUAUAUUAUAAACUGAUGCUGGACAGCUUUUUGUUAAUACUGCAACUGGACCACUCACUAGAAGUUGACAGUUUGUAUUCCUCCACCACCCGGUUGAUUUCUUCCUUUAUCAACAAUUCCAGCCUCGGAUACCCAGUGGAGAUUGAAGGUAUCCUUCAGACUGGUUAUAUCCACAAAUUGACACUCCAGUAAUCCACAUCUGUGUGCAUUUUUAUUUUUUAAAUGGGUCAAACUGAUGCUCAAAUUUAGACCAGUCCCAGAUCUACUGCUGUACUGCCAAUGUCCUCCCAUCGUCGACCAUAGGAGUUGUCAAGACUGUCAAACAAACUGAUCUGGGACCAGGCUAGUGAAGAUAUGCUCCAACUGACCAUUGUCAUUUCUGAAUUAGAUUUCCUAAACCUGAGACAGGGAUCAAAUUAGACAUACCGUCAGAGCCUUAGUGAGGUAGUCCUCCUUGGAGGACUUUCUUGAUCUGCCCUGGACUGAACAUUUGAGUCAUUUAGCAGACCCUCUUAUCCAGAGAGACUUAUAGGAGCAAUUAGGGUUAAGUGCCUUGCUCAAGGGCACAUCAGAUUUUUCAUGUAGUUGGCUCAGGGAAUCGAAUCAGGGAAUCGUAUCAGCGACCUUCCAGUUACCGGCCCAACGCUCUUAACCGCUAGGCUCCCACCCCUUAUUAUCUAUACAGAAAACACCAACCAAUUAAAAUCCACAUCUAUUUAAAAUAAAGAAAUGCAACAAUUUUACAAAUGCACUUACUGAUCAUAGAUAUGUCUUAGCUUGUGUUUUUUAUAUAUUAUUUUAACAUUUCCGUCAUUUAGCAGACCCUCUUAGCCAGAGCGACUUAUAGUUGUGAAUGCAUACCUUGACUUUUUUUCAUACUGGUCCCCAAUGGGAAUCAAACCCACAUCUUGGCGAAGGCCGUGCGCCGUGCUCUACCAGCUGAGCCACAUGGGACAAUAUCCUCCAGUGUACUUGGAAUCAUCCACAGCGAUGGAACAAUGUGUCUUCUGGCCUGUGGUCGAUAACAUUCUGGAUAACCCUUGUAGACAGACUGAGGUAAACAGUAAUUGUAGGAUGUGUAAGUAUUUUCUUCACCCCAACUCUGGCAGAUUUCCUUGAAUAAGCAGUAAAUGAACAUUAAUGGACCCAUAGAAAAAUACAAACUCUGCAAGGUCGCCGACAAAUGGUACGGAUAAUAUUUAUGCCCAAAAACAGGGACUCCUGCAAACUCCAAGCCAAUUCACCCGGAUGAGUCGAGACAGAAAAACAGUGAGAAAAUGUCCAUCGAAGCCUCGAUAGUCUAAUAAUGUAUAUUGUACCUUGAAGAAGUCCAGAAGGUUCUUCCAUUCUAUAUUGGACACCCGCCACCACAUAACUGGACAGCUUGGACUUUUCCUGAAUGGUAAAUAAAAAGUUGUUUUUGCAAUUGUUGAUGACGUUUGCCCAGCCCAUUAUACUUAAGCAAUAAGGCCAGAGGGGGUGUGGUAUAUAGCCAAUAUACCACGGCUAAGGACUGUUCUUUGCGGCGUGCCUGGAUACAGCCCUUAG